rnacentral:rRNA from 1 species
UACGAAGGGGGCUAGCGUUGCUCGGAAUUACUGGGCGUAAAGGGCGCGUAGGCGGAUAGUUUAGUCAGAGGUAAAAGCCCAGGGCUCAACCUUGGAACUGCCUUUGAUACUGAAGAUCUCGAGUCCGGGAGAGGUGAGUGGAACUGCGAGUGUAGAGGUGAAAUUCGUAGAUAUUCGCAAGAACACCAGUGGCGAAGGCGGCUCACUGGCCCGGUACUGACGCUGAGGCACGAAAGCGUGGGGAGCAAACAGG